UGCAGUCGAACGGUGAUGUCAGAGCUUGCUCUGGCGGAUCAGUGGCGAACGGGUGAGUAACACGUGAGUAACCUGCCCCCGACUCUGGGAUAACUGCUAGAAAUGGUAGCUAAUACCGGAUAUGACGAUUGGCCGCAUGGUCUGGUCGUGGAAAGAAUUUCGGUUGGGGAUGGACUCGCGGCCUAUCAGGUUGUUGGUGAGGUAAUGGCUCACCAAGCCUACGACGGGUAGCCGGCCUGAGAGGGUGACCGGCCACACUGGGACUGAGACACGGCCCAGACUCCUACGGGAGGCAGCAGUGGGGAAUAUUGCACAAUGGGCGAAAGCCUGAUGCAGCAACGCCGCGUGAGGGAUGACGGCCUUCGGGUUGUAAACCUCUUUUAGUAGGGAAGAAGCGAAAGUGACGGUACCUGCAGAAAAAGCACCGGCUAACUACGUGCCAGCAGCCGCGGUAAUACGUAGGGUGCAAGCGUUGUCCGGAAUUAUUGGGCGUAAAGAGCUCGUAGGCGGUUUGUCGCGUCUGCUGUGAAAUCCCGAGGCUCAACCUCGGGUCUGCAGUGGGUACGGGCAGACUAGAGUGCGGUAGGGGAGAUUGGAAUUCCUGGUGUAGCGGUGGAAUGCGCAGAUAUCAGGAGGAACACCGAUGGCGAAGGCAGAUCUCUGGGCCGUAACUGACGCUGAGGAGCGAAAGCAUGGGGAGCGAACAGGAUUAGAUACCCUGGUAGUCCAUGCCGUAAACGUUGGGAACUAGAUGUGGGGACCAUUCCACGGUCUCCGUGUCGCAGCUAACGCAUUAAGUUCCCCGCCUGGGGAGUACGGCCGCAAGGCUAAAACUCAAAGGAAUUGACGGGGGCCCGCACAAGCGGCGGAGCAUGCGGAUUAAUUCGAUGCAACGCGAAGAACCUUACCAAGGCUUGACAUAUACCGGAAACAUGCAGAAAUGUGUGCCCCGCAAGGUCGGUAUACAGGUGGUGCAUGGUUGUCGUCAGCUCGUGUCGUGAGAUGUUGGGUUAAGUCCCGCAACGAGCGCAACCCUCGUUCUAUGUUGCCAGCACGUAAUGGUGGGAACUCAUAGGAGACUGCCGGGGUCAACUCGGAGGAAGGUGGGGAUGACGUCAAAUCAUCAUGCCCCUUAUGUCUUGGGCUUCACGCAUGCUACAAUGGCCGGUACAAAGGGCUGCGAUACCGUAAGGUGGAGCGAAUCCCAAAAAGCCGGUCUCAGUUCGGAUUGAGGUCUGCAACUCGACCUCAUGAAGUCGGAGUCGCUAGUAAUCGCAGAUCAGCAACGCUGCGGUGAAUACGUUCCCGGGCCUUGUACACACCGCCCGUCAAGUCAUGAAAGUCGGUAACACCCGAAGCCAGUGGCCUAACCGCAAGGGAGGAGC
rnacentral:rRNA from 1 species